UACGUAGGGUCCGAGCGUUGUCCGGAAUUACUGGGCGUAAAGAGCUCGCAGGCGGUUUGUCGCGUUGUUCGUGAAAACUCACAGCUCAACUGUGGGCGUGCGGGCGAUACGGGCAGACUGGAGUACUGCAGGGGAGACUGGAAUUCCUGGUGUAGCGGUGGAAUGCGCAGAUAUCAGGAGGAACACCGGUGGCGAAGGCGGGUCUCUGGGCAGUAACUGACGCUGAGGUGCGAAAGCGUGGGGAGCAAACAGG
rnacentral:rRNA from 1 species